UCACCUGUACACGGCGGGCCCCUGAACCUCUUGGGUCCCAUGAACUGGAAGGGAGAUGCCCUCUGGCUGAAGAUGGGGUCAGUGAGGAUGACCAGGCCGUCCAUCUCUACCAGGACUGAUGCGUGGCCCAGCCAGGUCACCCUGAGACCAGACCCCACGGUUCCUGACACCUGUGGUGUUAUGUUAUAUAUAGACAGGACCAGUCAAAGUGUGGACACACCUACUAAUUCCAGCAGCUUUUCUUUAUAUUUACUCUUUUCUACAAGACAUCAAAACGAUGAAAUAACACACAUGGAAUUAUGUAGUAACCAAAAAUAAAAGUGUUAAACAAAUCUACAUAUAUUUUAGAUUUGAAAGUCUUCAAAGUAGCCACCCGUUACCUUGAUGACAGUUUUACACACUCUUGGCAUUCUCUCAACCAGCUUUUAUGCUAUAUAUAUAUACGUUAUAUUAUUGUUAAAUUGUUCUGUUGUUUUCAUGGACUCCUGGGAACAGUAUUGCAUACCGAAAGAGAUCAACAAGAAACAACAACAUGAAAACAAACCUCAGGCCUCUGGAUGAAGGAAGGUUUCAGCAGUGGAAGGUCACAGUCUAACUCCUCAACACAGGGACACACGGGGACACACAGGGACACACGGGGACACACGGGGACACACGGGGACACACGGGGACACACGGGGACACACAGGGACACACAGGGACACACGGGGACACACGGGGACACACAGGGACACACGGGGACACACAGGGACACACGGGGACACACGGGGACACACGGGGACACGGACGGUUGGUAAAUAACAACAAACACCUGUCUGAAAAGGACUCCUCCUCCACCUCUGAUGCCAUCACUUCAAUUCCUUGUCUGAGGUUGAAAUACAUCAGGUCUAAAUGAAUAUAAUUGCAUGGGGUUGUCAUGUAUCAUCUACUAGGAUACAUUUCUAUGCAAAUUGCUAAUGGAAUGUAGAAUUAACAACAACAACAACAACAAGGCAAAAAGCCAAUAGGUUAAAGAUGGGAUUCGUACCUCUUUGGAGCGGGGUACGUUUCUGUGGUCCUUAUCUAGUAGGUAGAACCGGAGCAGGGAGGCACAGGAGGGGUACGUUUCUGUGGUCCUUAUCUAGUUGGUAGAACCGGAGCAGGGAGGCAGAGGAGGGGUACGUUUCUGUGGUCCUUAUCUAGUAGGUAGAACCGGAGCAGGGAGGCAGAGGAGGGGUACGUUGCUGUGGUCCUUAUCUAGUAGGUAGAACCGGAGCAGGGAGGCAGAGGAGGGGUACGUUGCUGUGGUCCUUAUCUAGUAGGUAGAACCGGAGCAGGGAGGCAGAGGAGGGGUACGUUGCUGUGGUCCUUAUCUAGUAGGUAGAACCGGAGCAGGGAGGCAGAGGAGGGGUACGUUGCUGUGGUCCUUAUCUAGUAGGUAGAACCGGAGCAGGGAGGCAGAGGAGGGGUACGUUGCUGUGGUCCUUAUCUAGUAGGUAGAACCGGAGCAGGGAGGCAGAGGAGGGGUACGUUGCUGUGGUCCUUAUCUAGUAGGUAGAACCGGAGCAGGGAGGC
ensembl:lncRNA